rnacentral:rRNA from 1 species
CCUGAACGCUGGCGGCGUGGCUAAGACAUGCAAGUCGCAACGGGGGUCGCAAGACCCAGUGGCGGACGGGUGAGUAAUUUAUCGCUAAUGUACCCUAGAGCCAGGGAUAGCUGCCCGAAAGGGCAGGUAAUACCUGAUCGAUAUAACUUUAUCGGCAUGAUAAGGUUCUCAAAGCAGCAAUGCACUCUUGGAGCAGGCGAUAUCGUAUCAGCUAG